rnacentral:tRNA from 1 species
GCUUAUGUAGUUGAACCCACAACUUCAGCUUUUCAGCCUGACAGUCCGAGUUAGACCCUCGGCAAAAGUG